GCUGGGGUGGCGAAAUCGGUAGACGCAGGGGACUUAAAAUCCCCCGGACGUAAGUCCGUGCGGGUUCGAGUCCCGCCCUCAGCAUCA
rnacentral:tRNA from 1 species